GAUAAAUGGAUAUCUGUUUCUUAAGUCUUGCACUUCCCUUGUGACCAUGAGUAUAUUCAACGGGUGCACUAAAUUCUGUAGAACAGAAGGAAAAAUUUAUAUUGUGCUUGACAAUUUUGCCUGUUUUUCUAGAGAGAAAACUCCAUGUUGAUGUUCCAUUAACAGCUGUGGUAUAAGAUAGAUUUUUUUUUAACUAAAAUAUAUUAAUUUUUUCAGGUGUUUAUUACCACUCUUACAGACUUACACUCUGUGAAUUCUGUGACUUCCUUUUUAGAAUACCAACAUAAUUUUCUGGUAACAGCUGCCUGAAUAUGAACCACAAACACUAACCAAAUGAAAAAGGCUGUGUAAUGUUUAAGAGAACCAGCUUUUAGAUGAUGAUUAGUGAACUGUUUCUGCACAGAUAUGAGAUAAAUCACAGAGCAACUGCAAUGUCUCAGCACCCCUCAUGAUGGUGUGUUUUCCUAUUCAGAAAUUCUGUGAAAACCAAUAGUCAUUACACAUAUGACAGGUGGAAAGAGCCCACAAAUUUAUAGUAGUUGUACAAUUCCAGAAGCUGGUGUUCAAACUGGUAAAAGUAACAACUACAUCAUGUAUUAUGUCAAACUAAAUUUUAAUUGAUAUACUUCAUUUUUCUUGAGAGUUCAACACACACAGGGUAGAAAGAUCUAAAAUGUUGUCUAAUGCUUCUCUGACUCUCUAAUUUUUGCCCCUAUCUAAUGGUUCCAUAGUCUAAUUAAUAUAUAUGAUCUAUCAGUAAAAACUAGUUUUCAAGUUUUCAAGAUGAUUGUUUAAAUAAGGUAUACAUUGUAUAUUUCAUAUAUAUGGCAAAAUCACAUCAGCUUUAAGGGCUGUGAAGGGAAGAUGUGAUGAUGUGCAUUUAACCCACAAAAAAAAAAAAAAUCAGCUUUGUGUACUGCACAGCACAGGAAAAUCCCUGUCAUUUCUCUGUAGGUGGCACAUCCUUAUCAUGUCAAUUAGCACAGGGGGGUUCGUGUGAAGGUGACAAACUGAGAUGAGAUAUGUGAGAUGAUGUAUCUUUGAAUGUAUAGGAAGCAAACAACACAGAUGAGUCCACAUGUGAAUCAUGAAAGUGAACUCACAGCCAUCAGUCAACAAGCAAGUAUAGCCUGUAAUGACAAUAUACUCAUAGCGAUACUGAGAAGGAGCACAGCUCUCACAACUCUUUCUUCAAAGUCAGCAGAUCAAGUUGUGAAUAAAAAAAGAAUACAAUACAAUCGUGGGCAGCUAAUAAGUUAUGGGGGGGAGGGGGAAGAAUUAAAGGUUUUGACUCAGAAAUUAAGAUUUUAGAGUAUUAUGUAAUUUUAUUGAAAUAUGCUAUCACAUCCAAGCAAGGAUCCUGGAAAAAAAAAUUUAAAAAGGACUCCUACGUGUUUUCAGCACCAUCAUUCAAAGCAAUCUUCACUGAAAGUGGAUCAGAAAAGCAGGAUACUGUCUAGAUCAGCAAUCACAAUUACUAGAGUGCCAAGGAAUGGAAGGUCAUUGGGCAAGUUCCCCAAUGUGCAGCAUAUGCUGUGGUCAUGAAAGCUGAAGCCUCAUGACCUGCUAUGAACACAAGCUGUUCCCAACUAGCAAGCGAUAAUUUUCUGUAUCAUUUACAAUAAAUACUAAAACCCACCAACACAGUGUGAAACUAUGCCCACCUGCUUUCUAGGACAUAUUUGCAUAUUUGCUAGUUGAACAGGCAUCAGCAAAGAAUCACUCUGUAACAGAUUUUAUUGAGAAAUUCUGGAAGCAUUUAACCUUAAGAAUUAAAUUCGGACUUAAAGUUCAAGAAACAUGGGUUUUUGGAAUGCUUGUCAGCCUUUUCUAUAAAAAAUUUAUUUCACAUACAAAUCAUGGGAGUUUUGUCAUUGUCUCUAAAAGAAGUAAAAUCACACCCUACUUUCACAACCUUUCACAACUUUCACAAAUAUUAGACCAUAGGAAAUUCAAAACUGCUUUUCUCCCCAUACAUAAAAUCUUCAAUAAUAUAUAAAACACUAUUUUCCUGUAUACUACAGCUUUUUGACUUGAACACCUGUGUUUCAGAAAAACUAAUUCUACCAGUUUGUAUUGAGGUAUAUGCGUCCUUCUAGCUGGUUCCUGACAGUACUAGAUCUUAAGAAAGUAUCUCUCAAGUGAUUCAGACUGGAAAACCAUUGUAUGUCAAAUAGUUAGUGAUUUAUAUAAUUGUUUGGAUGACCAAAAAGAGGAUUUGCAUCCACAGACAAGAUCUGCACAGCAUGUAUUGCAAAAAACAUAUUUGGGGUCAAUCAAAUGCUGCAUGAAAGCAGGAGUCCCAGACCCUGGAGGAAUACAGGAUUUACAUGCUGUCUGCAUUCCUCUUUUUACUUUAUCUUAUUAAAACGGCUGGUUUUUUGAGCCAUUUGCUGUCAGAUCUGUCUCUACCAAGAUCCAGAAAGAACCCUGCACCAUCUCCUUCAUUCAUAAACACCCUUUGCCUUGGUACAAAAUUAAUUCUCAGGGUUUCUCUUGACUCACCUGACUUUUAUAUUUUUCUGUUCUUCAAACAAAAAUGGAUUUGCAGUGCUAUGAAGCUGAUUAAUCUUUUGCCCCAAGAAAAUAGUCAAAAUUGCUAUAGUUGCUGAGCUUUAGUUCUGAGUAAUUUACUCCCAGAGACAACAGUUUGAAGUUUUUUUCAACUUUUGGUGAAAAUAUGGUUUAUUACUACACUGUUGCUGAGGGGCUACUAUAUAUUCCAGCCUAACAUGACCUAACCUACCUAACCUUACUCACCAAGAAUCUUCAAAGACAAACUAGUUGAGAAAAUACUCAGUUAACUGGAGAAAGUCUUGACAGCAUAGAAGUUAACACUCUUUUGAUAGUCAGUGGUUAGAUGACAAAAAGAUCAGGCAGUAUAACAGAACACAGAUUUCAAAACAAGCUACUAACUGUUUUUUUUUUCUUCCUCAAAGACUCACUUUCAGCAGAGGGAAGAUAGCUUAAGUGUCCAGAUUCUGAAAUAUCAUUGCAAAAUGCACAGCUGACAAAGUUCAGGAAGGCUGGAGAAUGAAGACUGCUAAGCAAAAUAUAUCAGCAGACUCCUUCAGAUUAACCUAGCACUCCAUUAAAAGGGUUCCUUGGUUAGUAAAAAGACAUUUCAAAAGAAUUAUUAUUUGGGGAGCUUCACAAUCAAUCAUGCUGAUAGAUGGUUUCAUUUGUCUGAGAGAGGACUGUUUCAGUACUGUGACAGGGCAAAAAGGAACAACAGCAAAUUCGGCUGUGAGCCACUUGGCACAGUGUUUCAGCAUAUGCUGCUCUGCAUCACAGUUUUGGAAGGACAGAAAGCUCUUAGAAAAGUAAGUGGACAGAAUCAAUCUCAUAUGAGGCAGCCAAAGACAUAAAUGCCAUUUUCAUUUGAAAAUUUCUUCUGUAAAAGAAAACUGAUUCUCUCCAUUAGGCAGUAGUCUUUGCUAAUAAAGUAACUCAUUUUGUUCAAGCGUUCAUGGAGUAAUAUUGAAGUGGCAGAUUUCCUUACUGAGAAUGUCCUGAGCAAGUAAGCACUGAAGUAACUACAGUUACAGACUAGGCCACAAACUCUUGCGCACAGAAGGAUUCAGAAUUAAGCUACAUCGCAACUACACAGUUUUCACUCAAUGCAAAUGAUGAUGGUCUUUAGAGAGCAGAUAUUCUUCAUCUGACAAUCUGCUCCAUGGCCCCUGUAAUGCUAGAGACACUGGUCUUUAAUGAAGCCAGUGCCACUAUAGGAUUCAUCUGGAGUGAUGAAGGUCAGCUACAUCACUCUCAACAUGCCUCCUACCAGCACAGGACCCGAAGGGGAAAAACUAAUGGCUCAUCAGUGGCACAGAUGUGCCUGCAGGAAAAUGUCCCUCUGGUUAUUUAUGGUUCGAUAAAGUCAUUUACAGAGUCUCAGUGGAGCCAAAGGGCCAUAACCAGUCUUGAGAAUCUAUUUUCUUCUUUAAUCUCCACAGGAAUUUCCAUAUACUGUAACUACAUUGCAUUCAUAGAAUGUCCCCCUCAAAGAAAAAUCUGUUUCAUCCAAACCCAUUAUUUGAAAGAGGUUUCUGGAGGGGGUUUUCUACAGAAUAUUUCCCACUAAAACAUCAGGGUGACAUGAAAAAUUGGCAUGUGUUCAGUGUAAUCUACCCAUUUAGCUGGGGCAAAAGAAAGCAGGAACUAUAAAGGAGAAUGAGAUAAAGAGACAGUACCCAAUGCCUUCAAGAGUAAUCAGAAAUAUCUGGUGAAGAUACAAUUUAAUAAUAAUGUUACUCAAGCAAAAUAUUUUAAUGUAUACAAAGGUAUUUUUGAAACAAUUUUCAAUCAGAAGAAAGAGGGUUCUUUAUUUUCUCUUUUGAAGAGAUUGAGGACAAAAGAACAUUAUCUCAGCACUUCCCAUGUGACAAAAUUCCUUUUGCAGAUAGUUUCUGCAAAAGACAAGGAUUUGCCUUUGGAUCCUUGGCAAGGAUUACUCUUUGAUGACUAUAAGCAGAAGUUAAUCAGAAAAGACUAGGUGAACCUUGAGAUGGAUAAAGCUGAGGUAUUCAGAAGAUGCAAAGCAAAGACGGAAAGAGAACAUAGAGAAGUCAGCAUACAAAUGAAGAGCAGGGCUGGGAAGUAACUGAAAAAAGAUGGUUAAAGCUUAAGUAAACUCUUCCUGCUAGUGGUCUCGAGUAUUUUUUCUGUCCUAACCCUCCAAACAUAAUUUAUUAAGUAUUCUCAUUACAGCUACAUACUAGUCUAGUCCUAGUACAUGAUUUAAUAAUAUUCUUUAAAAAAUUAAUUGCUUAAAUUUCAUAAGACUUUUUCCCCCCUACUUGAACAGUGGAAAAUGAUCAUUCCCUAAAUAGCUUCAUAUAUUUAGGAAACUUUUUACACACAGGUGUACCAUCAUUGAAUUAAUCUAUUUAUCUUCAUAUUAUUUGUCAUACACAAAACAGAGUAUCACUUUUAAAUUGCAAAAUAUAAAAUGUCUGUCUCAAAAGCGUUUUACACAAAUUUAAUCACCCCUGUCAUAAAGUGAAUCAUCAUUUCCUUCAGCCACCACAUCAUAAGGUUUAUACUAAGAAAUAAAAAAUUUUCCUGAUUUCAGUAUGGAUUCUGCAUUAACCAUCUCUAAAAUGUUAAGAUAGAUCCUGACACUUGUGCCAUAUUAUAUAAAGAAAGGAUUUUGAUAUUAUUUAUAAAGUUCUGUAAUUUAAAACACUCUCCAAAUCCUGUGUUGGGUAGUUUUAGCUAACUGUGUUUAACAGAAAAAUGUGAACUCAUAAAUAAAAACAUUUUGGUUUUUUACUAUAUGGUUAAUCCACUUAGUGAGACAGUACUAAGUUGAUCUAUAGUCACAAUGCUCCCCAAAAUAAAACAACAACAAAAUACAGCAAAUAAAACCAAGCAAACAAACAAAAAGAAACAAAAAUCUUCAUAAGCAGGAUAUAUGUGUGCAUAAUACAGAGGAACCAAUAGUUAGUAUUUUAUAUGUAGCACAUAUGUUCAUGAUAAACACUUUCAUUCUCUACAUAAUUUCAAUAAAUCCUGAAGACUAUUGUGAUUUUCUGAAACAGUGAUUAGAUUACUCUAUUGCAAAAAUCAAAAGUAAUUUAAAAAUAUUUUUGAACAUUUGUAUGCAGAUCUGAAAUUUAUGUUUGCAUUUUAACUUAUUAAUUAUUUACUUAUGCAUUCAAAAAUAAAAUAAAAUAUGGAAACUUUAAAAUUGUUAAUGAUGACAAGAAAAUUUAAAGAAAGUCAAAUCUGGAUCUCCUCCAUCAAUGAAAACGGUAAUGAAACUUCUACAUGAUUAAAGCACUACCUUUAAAUGAUGAUGCUUUUCAGAAAAAUGCAUAUUCAUAUUAAUUAAUAAAUUCUUCAUUUAAUAUCUGAUAUAGAUUUUUUUAACCAAAUUUCCUACUGGAAAAUAUUAUGGUAAAUGAUAGAAUUUAGAAAGCUAUGAAAUGGGCAGAAGAAGCGUGUUGAGCAUGAUAGAGAAUAGGAGAGGUUUUUUGUCACCAUUUCUUGUACCACUUAUAUGAUAUCAUAUGGUCUGCUAUUUCAAUAAAAUGAAGGUUCACUGGCCCAAUUCUAAAUACAGAUUUGAAAAACAUAAUGCAAAGUAUAAAAUACUAGUAAAUAUAUUCAUUUAAGGGUACUUUUUAGAAGUUUACACAACAUUACAAUUGUUCAGCACAUGAUAUUUGACAUAAUGACAGGAUAGAUUCCUCAAAUGCAUAAAUCACAAAUGCACUUGCUCAAGGUAGGAUACAUAUUUAUACAGGAAAGUGAAGAGUCAAAAUAAAGACUGUGCCUGUUCACCUUAACUUAUUUUAGCUCUACCCCAAAAUACAUUAACAAGUCAAACAAUCCAACUGCUGAUGAGCAGCUGUGAGUUUCACAAACUGUCUCUGGACUUACUAAACUGGGCAUAAAAUAUUGUGUACACUGCUUCUAAACAAAAACGUAGGGGAGUCCAAUUUUAAUUAACAACAUAGCUUUCCUGUAAGCACACUAAAGCAAAUUCUAGCCACAGAAUAACCUUCAAUGAAAUCAAUAAGCAUUAAGAAUUUAUAUAGCUUCCAGGACUGGGGUACUAACAGUCUCAAUUUGGCAAGGCCAGGGUGCUUUGCUGAAUAAGGAAUUCAAGAUAUACAUAAAGUUUAGCUGUAAUAUAUUUUACCAAGUAUGGCCCAUAAUGAUGAAUUAAGUGAAAAUCAAGAAUGUUUCAAUCUUUCAAAACUACUUUUAGCUUAAAAUUAAUUAAACUUCUUUCACAACAUUUUUAAUGGCACAGAUUUUAAAUUUUAUUUCUUCCCUUGCAAUCUGUUCAGCCAAUCAAUAGACUGGGAUUUUAAUAUUUGGUUCAUGUCUUGUAAAUUGAUCUAUGAAAAAUCAAAAGUGUUAAAGAGAUCAGUUGUAGCCUAAACAAAAAUCAAAUAUUAGCUCCUGAAGAGCAUUAGCUGGGGCUUUCUACGAUAUGAAUUAAAACCUGCAGUACUGAAUUCCUUGUAAGAAAUAUGUGGAUAAAAUUAUUGCACUUUUAUAGUUUCCCUGAACAGUUUUCAUUAAAUCUACUGCCUAGUCCACAAAGUCCUUCAUCCUUAUUUAAAAUGAAUAUGGAUUUUGACACAUGUUCACAGAUGGUUACCUAGGAAAUUUCAGCAUGCUUUGGACAUAACUGAAAAAAGUUAUUCUUAGAAGCAUUUGCAAUUCUAGGUGGAUGCUACUUGAGAAAUACACAUGCAAAAAGGUGAAAAGACUAGCUUUUCUCACCAUGGAUGUGUCAGUGUCUCCAUUACCCAGAUCAAAUUUAGCUAUACUUUGCAUAAAGAGGAAGGGUGAUUUACCUUGGGUCAAAGAGUCAGUGCUCAGUAAAAGGAUAAAAUUUUCAGUGACCUUAUCUCUUGCUGGCACUUGUCAUUGUGGGGAUCAAUUUAACUUUACAGCAUUCAAAGCAUCUUUAAUUCCCUUUUGCUGCCGCAGCACAACUCUACACAAUUCUUUCAUUGAGUGCUCUUAGGUCCCCAGUGGGCACUUAAAACUCCCAGGAUAAUUGUGUAAUAGAAUACAGUCUGAAUGGCUGCAACCUACUGACUUUCUGGCACUCCACAACAAAAACAAAUCAAAACAAAUCCCCAGCAUCCAAAAACCUCCUUCACUCUUCUACCCUGUAAAGCAUGAUCAUAGGAGACUUCAUGGGGUUUUUUUAAGAGGAAAAAAAUGGAAAAGUGUGAGUAGUGUAAAUAUCUAUGGAAUGCUAACAAAAAUCAGAAAAAAAAAAGAGUUUGCCACCAGUAUUCAGUACAAAAUUGAAUUCAUUGCAUACAGAGUAAAGACUGAUUUAAAGUCACUCAUAAAAGCAACAUUAAGGAGAAAUCUAGGUGUUCAGACAAGAAGUUCUGAUGUAAGAUAAAAUGGUAUACAAGGUUAUACCAUCCAAAGUUUCAAUUUUUAAUAUAUGGGAUUUUUUAUCUCAUCUGGAAAAUCUGGCAAACAGAAUUAGCUAUGCAAGCCAUCUACUCAACAUCUCCUCAAAGUCAAACAGAAUAACUAGUUACAGCAGUUCUUCAUCAUAUACUCUUUUAAAAAGUUACUUCUUAUUUAUUAUUUUUAUUGCAUACAGGUGUUUGCUGGUAUACAACAGCAAAUUGAAUAUGUUUUAUAAAAAUAAUUAUAGCCCUUAAAUAUUUUUGAGUAAUUAAUAACAAUUUCAUCCACCUUGUUUGCAACCUAAAACGUCGGAUUUCCAGGAGAAGCUGAAGGAGAGAUGAUGAACCCUUUAGCUCUAAAAAAAAAAAACCCUACAAAAAAGUCCUUAUUUUGUCAUUGAAAUUAUUUAGGUCAGGGGGCUUAACACUAAUAAAUUGUUCAGUAAAAUGUGCACAAUUAAAUGGCAUUUAGAAUAUUUUAAAUAUGUAUUUUCAAACUUUCUUUUAAGAAGGUGUAGUCGCAGAAAAACAGGGCUAGCAAGCUAAGUCACUUUAAUGCUUUAAAAUUAUUAUCUUCAAAGGGAGGCAGAAGCCCUAAAUAAGGCAAUAUGAUGUUUUAUCUGAUUUGAUUCCAAAACUCAAGGUCUGUAUGUUCUCAUGCUGCACCCAGAAAUUUUGCAAACAUGAAUUUAUUUCCCACAUUCAGUGAGGCUGCUCAAGCAUUUAACUACAUAUUUACAUGUUUUUUGAGGAAAACAUAUAAAUCAUCCAUCCACUGUUAGGUGACAGGAAAAUUAAAGGAAAUAUUACUGGUUUAGUAUCUAUAUGUGUGUGUGUAUGUAUAUAAAUUUGUUUACUUUUUCCACCUCAACCCCCAGUUCAGAGACUUAAACCAAUUCAAGGACCGAGGUGGGUAUGAAAGGUGUGUUACAGAGACAGCUAGACCCUGAAUCAGCAGGUUACACAUCACUGUACUGCAAUCUAGAUGAGCUUUCAAGAUUAAGACAUUUCUCUAACUAACAAGAAUAACUCAUGUACUGAUUGUGGUGUUUUAAAGUACACAGUCUUGUCUUUAAGUAUCUAAUUACUGCACAUGUUUUGAGAUAAACCUGAAAGUAUAAAUCAUGGGCUAUUUCCAUCUAAAAGUCCAGCUCUUCUAUUUGGGGCUGAGAACAAUCUCUCCUUACAGCAAUUAUUCUGGCUAAACCCUCUUGUUAAAGAGACAGAUGACCCAGACCCCUUAAAGUGUUCUUAAUCUUAUGGGUGGAAUUACAAGGAAAAUAGUGAAUUUUCAAUACUGAUUAUAGAGAGUGUGUCUUUCAAUAAGGGAAAAUGUAUAAAAUCAAUCCUUGUUGUCUGUCUUUUAUAGUGUAUCAAAUAUUACACAGAAGACUUUUUUUACAUGCAACAUAUAUCAAAAACAGCAGCUUAAUAAAUUCGAGAGGCACCUUGAUCAGAAGGCAAGUAAGGAAUAUGAAUGCCACUGCUAAGAAAACAAGACCUGCUUGGUACUAAAUAUAUCUCAUCCCAAUAAAAGAAAUCCAGGAAAACUUCAGAAAGACAAACAAACAAAAACAACCCACAGACUUAAAAAAUAUGUAUAAGAUUUCUGUCUUUUCAGAGUAUAAAAAGAGCAGCCUCUGAAUGCAUUACUGGAAUUCAGAAAUGGCAUUCUCCCCCUGCAGGUGCAUUACAUAGAGGUCAGUAUAACCCCAUAGCCCACUAAAUACAGUAUUGCUAAGAACAGGCCAUAUGUUUUGUACUGAUGUUGCAAGGCCUCAGAAAUUAGCUUUGUCAGGAUUACUUUGUACUUUUAUUGACCUGCUUGGAACUUUGGUUUAGAUUGUUUAGCUAUAAAAGACUGAUUAAGUGUCUAUGACUAGUUUGCUUUAUUUUUGUACAACUCUGUAUUAUAUAACUGUAAUCCUGUACAUACUCUUGCAACAAGUAGAACAAAAUAUUCAUGGCUCUAACAUAAUAGUGUAAAGCAGAGAAAUACAAGCUUGGCAUGACAGUGGAGGCUUUAAAAGCAGCUUGAAAACUGUGUGAAAUGUAGAGGAACCCAGGCAUGGGAUGGUAAGAUAAGUGACCCAGGGUUGGCUCUAGAGAGCCUUGACUUGUAAACUCAACUGUGGACAAUUAAAGGAAUGCAGGGUAACAAGGAGAAAAGCAAGAAGUAUCCAGUAUAUGCAACAAGCUUUCUAUGUAGUAAAUUCAGCUUUAACAUGGACCUACAGAUCUGCAAAGAAAGAGCAAAGUUUGCAUGGUGUGUUAGAAGAACAUAGAAAUUACCCUAAGCAGCUCCUACCAAGAGGGAGAGGCAGUUACCAUUAAAGUCAUGUUGCUCUUGUCAAUGCACUCAGGAUCCUGAAAACUUGCAUGUCCAGCUGAAAAUGUCAACUGCAAGAAGCCAAGGAGCAGUAGAAAGGUGAAUAUAAAUACAAGGAAAGGCAUAGAUAAAAAGAAGUCCAUAUUUAAGCUUAAGUUUAGAUCCCUGAAAAAUGGUACUGAAAGAUUUGUUAGUGUCUCAACACAAGGAAAUAACCUUCUAGUUCAGUUAAACUCAUGCAGCCUGAUGUUCAUUUGGAACAGUUUCCCCCACAAUCUUCCACACACUAUUUUUCCUUCUACAUACCCUUCUUUCUGGUUUGCAUGUACCAACAUUUACAUUAAAAAAAAAAAAAAAAAAUCCACAGGGCUGUAUAUAUUUGUUCAGGAAUUUGAAGAAAAAAGACUUUUAUGCUUUGCUGUCUACUUUUAAGAUAUUUAAUCCUAACAGAAUUUUAUUGGAAUAAAAUUUUUUAUUUCAAUAUCAAGUAACAUGGAAUGGAAGAAACACUUGAUAUAAUGCAUUUAUUUCUAUAACAACAUACUCUGACGAGACUUCAUUAUACUUCAGGCUAUCAACUGCAGCAUCUGUUCACAUAUCCCUUAAACUGUGAAGUGGGCAAUGUAUCAGCGCAAAGUGCGUUCUAAAACAUCAGAGUGAUACUAGGAUCAUCCCUUCUCAAGUGAUAAUGAUAAUUUAGCCAAACAUUUGCAUAUGGCCUUUCAAAAAAAAGGAAAAAAGGGAGCAAAAACCCCACACAUUACCAGAUAUAUUGGCUGCUACCUGCAAAAAAAGUAACAUGCAAGUAAAAACAUUAGAAGAGACUACACAGAAUGUGGUUUCUCCAUGGAAAUAUUUCUGCAGGACAAGCAGCCUAUAGGCAAAGUAGGCGAAGCUAUUCUAGCACCAGGUAAAAAAAUUCAAAGCUGAAGGCAUCCGUAAAGCUAUUCAUUUUCACUUUUUUUCACACAUAUUACAGCUGCUUCAAGCAGAUCUCAAAAUCUGAAAGACUAUGGCCUUUGAUUGAAACAAGUGCUAUUUCCUUACUAACUGUGCUAAUUUAGCGAAGUGGUAAAGCUGAGCUGAAUCAUCAUGCAAAUCUGUGAGAAGCUUUAAAAUACUAGCUGCAAAAUGAAAACAUUUUGUAUUUAUUCAUAAAGCCAAGAGACUAAAAAUCUGAAUCUUCUUUAUGUCUGCUGAACUUUGGAAUAAACUACAGAGCAAGAAUAAUAAUAUUAAAAAUUUAAAAAUAAACUCCAAAGCUAGUAUGGUCACAACCAUUUGGAAUAGAAUUGGCUAUCUUUUAUGUCACAUUAUUAUAAUGUGCAGAGAGCACACAUUUCUUGAUAGAGCCAUCAGUUGUGUUUAUGUUCUAGUAUAAGACAUGCACAGCAUACUUCCUUAAAAAGUAGCAUGUAAGAGAAACAAGCACACAGUCUGCAUCAGAAUUCUAGCUGCAGAGGACCCUAAAAAUAUCUACAAUUGCACUUCUACCUUCAGUGUAAGUGGAAGUGCAAUUGGACUGUAGGUCCAUGUUCAGUUUUCAAUCUCCUAUAAAUCAAAACACCUGAAUAAUAACAUGAAGUUAGCCACUAUUCUGAAACCCAUUGACCACCUUUUCUUACAAGAGAGUAAAUGUGAUAGAAGCUACACAACCACAUUCAAGUGUUGUCCCAAAACAGACUACUACAUGCAACCAGCAAGCUCCAAAGAAGUUCUGCAACUUUCAAAGCAUGCAAAACACUGAAAAACACCCUCAGCCUUCCAAAUGUCAGAGAGCAUCCAGGCAUAACUCCAGAGACAAGAUAUCCUUGUUGAACAUACUGCUCUAGAAAACGAUUCAGAGGAGGAACUUAACCUGUCUUCUUCCUGAAACUGAUCCACAUAAUUCCUUCUUCACUAACAGUACAAAGACAUAAGCCUUCCUUGACUUUUGUUCCUAGAACUAUAUUUUGUAUGAAUAGGCUCUGCUUCAGUAGGGAAAUAUGCCCAGAAGAUUCAAGGUAAGCAUCUUCCAUUGCUGCAAAUUGUUGGCCCAAAAGUCUUGACUGACCAGAAGGCACUAUGAUUACACACCAGCAUUUCAAGGUUUGUACUUGCAUACUCAGGUGCUGAGCAGGCUGGAAACAAUGAGGCUGCAUACGUCUGAUCGCAAUUGGCCCCAAGCUCCUCAGUCUGCCCUUUCCGGUGUGCUAUAUGUCUCACUGAAUACUCAAAAUCAAGAAUCAAAACAGUACAACAGAGGAGGGAGAAAGUAAUUGUACCCAAAUUUUUUUUAAAGGUAAGAAAAAAUUAAAGUAAGAACAGUAAGGAGUCAGUUACCAAUUUUUCUGAUCAAAAUUAUGGCAAACUUAUUUUUGUUCCAGGAAAUUAAAUUAAAAUGUGGUGAGAGUUGAUGUAAAUGAGUUGUCAUCUACAGGAGGACUCAUUACUUCAGUAAGCCUAAGGACAAGAAGCUUAAGGACAUCUAUGGCCUAUAUUUCCUGGUGGCAAGAUUUUGAGCAACAUGAAAGCUACAGGGAUGGCUUUCCUGAGUCUUGUCCCAGACUCAGCUGGUUUCAGUCUUCUCCACAAUGGACCCACAACAGGACAAACUGGAGAUUGUUGGUCAUUUGUGCAUUUCCUCUGGCAGAGCAUUUUUAAAGAGAGAGGAGAAAGGAGAAAGUGUGAGAAAUGAUCCUGCAAGAAACAAGGUUUCUCAAGGAGGGUGAAGAUGUGCUCCAGGUGACGUACCAGACAUUCCCUUGUAACUCUUGGUGAAGCAAUUUAUUUCCCUACAACCCACGUACUUGACCACAUUGGAAUAAAUAUUCAUCUUGCAGCCCUCAAAGGACUGAGCUCUGGCAUGUUGUUAUUUCCUUUUAAGAUUAAGAUAUAAAAUAAUGUAUAUUUUGUGUAUAUAUUUUCAGAUUCCCAGACCUACUAUUUAUUAGUCAUAAUGUGUCAGAAUGGGAAAAGUUGCUUUCUAAUGCAAGAUUCAUGAUGGUUUUUGAGUUAAAUUAUUAUACUUCCUCGGGUUCUGAAUGACACAGAUAUAUAGCACAAGUUUAGGAAGAUUUACUUGCUAUCAAAUAUCAUACUCUAAUUCAAAAAUUUAUAUAUUAGGAGAUUAGAGGAUUGGACUCAAGUCAAAAGGAAGAGAUAGCACUACUAUUAUAUGUAUUUUAUGAAGAAUUGCCUUUAGAUUUUUCACAUUCUUUAUGUUUAUUUAAAUAACAUAAUUUCUGUACAUAGAUGUACAAAUGUGAACAGGUAUAGAUAGACAAGAGAAAUGCUUUCAUGCAUUAAAAAUAUUCACAUGUGUCUAGCCCUUAACACAUGGUGUUGCAUGUCGGGUGCUGUCGCGUGCUGUCACAUACUGUGCAUCUGGAUUUCAGAUUACAGCAAGCACUUUUGAUUAUUUGCAUGUAAAAAACUAUAUUUGGCAGUACAUUUUAACUUCUUAUAGUUAAGUGAGGCUCAGGUGAGAGAUUAUUCUGAAUGCUAAGAUGCCAUUGAAAAUGUUAGUUCUCAACAAUAAAGAGAUUGACCCUUGA